UAUUUUACUUAAAAAAUGCGCGGUUUUAUCCCUAAAUUUUCCCCCUCUGAAACACCUAAUUUUUUCCCCUAAAAUUAGUAUCCUCAAAACAGCCCCCAAUCUCACCUCGUUGCUCUUUUCAAUCAAGAAACUGAGAUGGCAGUCUUGAUUUGGCAUCAAAUUGCUUCAGUCUUGAAUUGGUUUCCAGUUAUACUCUGAGAUAGAAGAGAUGGCAGUGAACCAGACGGCGGCGUUGAAGGUGGGGUUGUGUCUAUUGGGCUUCUGCUAUUCGGCUACACGUUCAUCUCCCUCCACAACAAAAACAAAAUAGAUAUCUCAGAGUCUGAACAAUAAAUCCAUUGCCUUCUUUAAGUUUAAAAAUGCUUUUAAAUUGAAGAUUUUUAAUUAUCCUUUGGCUUCUAGGUUUUCGGCUUUUGACCCAUUCAAGGAGAAAAAUGGUUUUUGGCUAAAAGCUCUGAUCUUCUGUAAUUAAUUCACAACUGCGUUUUCAAACUCUUCGUCAAUGGAUUCCUUCCCAAGAUGUUUGAAUCCCAACAAGCACCUCAUAGAACAAUUCGUGAGCAAUUUGCCUGGAUCUUCCAUGCUUGAAGUCUCCGCUCUUUUGAAUAAUGUAGCUUCAGCUUCUAAUGCUUUUGCGGCACACUUUCUGCUCUCAGACAGUGAAUGAUACUUGUAGGAGUUUAAAGUCUUACCUAGCCUCAGUAGCUUUGGAUUAUGUCUUCAUUGUUCUACCCACAUUCUUAAUUUUCACUUCUCUAGCAGAGUGGGUAUACAUAUGCAUGAUUGGGUUAUUGUUCUUGCUGAUCUUCUUUACUGCAGUCAAAAGAACUUAGUCUUUGCCUUACAUGGAAGGACCUAAUGCUUCAAGGGCAAGCAUAUUAUCUUAUAGGGUUGUUACGAUGUUUAUCACAUGCUUGUGUAUCUUGGCUGUUGACUUCAGAAUAUAUCCUAGAGAAUAUGCCAAGACAGAGACUUACGUGACUAGCUUGAUGGACCUUGGAGUUGGCUCCUUUGUGCUAAUGAAUGCAGUUACUUCACGGCAAGCACGAAACACUUGCUGGAAUUUCUUUUUCACACUUGCUGCUGUAUCCAUCCUUACAUCCAUUUUAAAUGUUCCCGCAGAAUAUUCUGGAAUUCUUGGUUUAGUAAUUUUAGUUAGUAUACCUUCAUAUUUAUGAAGCUUGUUUUUAUAUUUUGGUAUUUGCUUUUUGAUUGGUCCUAUACAGUAAGUUGACUUUCUAACUCUCAGUGUACCAAAGCUGGUUGACUAAUGGGCUAAAUGUUUAUCUUCUUUCUAAUGAAAGCUUAUUUGGUAAGGACAAUUUAGGACUGUACCUAAUGUCCCAUCCCAUUGGUGUAUGCUUUAUCAUAGUGUUUUUAUUUUUUUGCACCUACAGCUUUAUUCUUGGAUAUGUUGUCUGUAAGAUUCUUGAGAUCCCCUGAGAAAAAAAACUGUAUUCUUUGCAUUUUGAUGUCAAUCUUCGAUUCAAGUCUCAUUUAGCUGAAAAACAGCUUGUAUUGAUUAGAAGGAAAUUGAAAAUGAUAAGAGGAAAAGAAUUUCUAUAUUAAUUUUUAGGACCAUUUCUUCCAUUGGAUAUUUGUCUUCUUUAUACGGAAUAAUAGGCUACCAAUUGUUCUUUUUCAUCUAAAAAGAGUAAAAUGGUGUUAUGGUCCAUGCAGUCCCUUUUUAUUAGUAACUCUUCUCAUCAUGUCAUCUUGAUACAAGAUUUUGUCAAGUGAUUACUUGUUAUUGUACCUAGGAUACUGGGGUAUGUAUCUUGUUGGUGUUCAGGUCAGCUACUAUCUCUUCUUUGAAAAUCAUACUACCAAGCAGCGAAGCAAGCAUGAAACACGAAUCAGAAUCUGCCUUCUUACUAUUAUGUUUUGGAUUUUAACGUUGCUUAUAGACAGAUAUAUUGAAAGAAUUUCAUGUAGAAUGGUAGGAUAUCGUAUAUUUACUAAUUUGUAAAACUAUCUUGGAAUUCACAAUCAUGAUUCACUAAACCGUGCUAUGCAAUUUUUUGCAGUGCAA